UCGUGGGGAAUGUAGAAGGUGGGGACCUGCUGAACAGACCUGUGUGGGUUCUACUAAAAGCCCUAAAGCAGGGCUUUGCCUUAUGCCAGAGGAAGAGCGCCGGGGCUCACUGAAGGCCCCCACUCACCCAGAAGAAUCUGGCCUGCGCCAUCUGGCUGCUUCCAGUGGGUGCCUGCAAGAUUCAAGUGAGAUUCAGGAAUACUUCUGAAGGCAUCUUCUGCUAGCCAUAUUGGUUUGGUUUGGUUUGGUUUUCCAACAAGGGAACACUACAUCAACAAUCUUGGGGAUGUGGACACAGAAGACUCCUGUUCCAAGAAAGUACAAUCAUCUUUCAAAAACUGUAAUUUAUAUGCGUUUUACCACACUAGAUAUUGAAAACCACCCAACUAGGGGGGUACAGUAUAUAACCAGUCACUAGUGUAAUAUUGUAUACCUUUUUAAAAUGUUAUUGGAAAGUGUUUUAUGAUCUGUAAGUCAAAUAAUCCGGCCCCACCGUUUUCAUUUUUCCUGCUAUUCCCCCAAAUCUAGGCUCCUUUGUUCCAGUUGGCAUGUAAACUUGUUUUUUCCACCAAAUGAGUCAGUCCUGAUAGAAGCGUCAAUUGAUUUGAACAGAUGUGUGUCAAUGUUACUUGGAAAAACUAGAUGCCAAUAACCAGGGCCACAGAAAAAGUCAGCAAAUGUAAUUGUGUAAAGCAUUUAUGCAUGCACGCAGACAAGGAGAAAAGUUGAAUCCUAAACAGGAAAACAUUUGGAUACACUCCAGUGCUGGGAGACCAAAUAAUUCUGUGUUGCUUUUGAUGUCCAGUAACAUGGGCAACUGUCCAAUUAAACAAACACCCAAGAAGGA